AUUCAGAAAAGUACAUUUAGAAUGGCGACAGAAUACUAUUCCAUCGCACUGAUUGCCUUGUCUUUGAAUAUCCUGCAACCAGUGAUCGGAGAUUGCAGGGAUGGAUGGACAAAAUUCCAGGGAAGUUGUUACUUGUUUGCCAGUGAGCAAGCCAAUUGGCCGGAAGCUCAGGCCGUCUGCUCAAGUAUGAAUUCCCAUUUGGUCGAAAUAGAAACCCAGACAGAAAAUGCUUUCGUUGAAGGAGAACUAAAGAUCAUACAUAACCAUGAUUCACAUUCCAAUAAUCAAAACGACGUAUCUUACUGGUUGGGCGGAAAUGACAUAGAAAUUGAGGGAGUGUUUAAAUGGGUCAGAUCUGACCAACCACUGACGUACACGGACUGGAGCCCGGGCCAGCCUGAUGACGCCAAUGGCGAGGACUGUAUGGAACUGAGGGGCGCGUUCCAGUACCACUGGAAUGACCUCCCCUGUAACAUUCCUCACCACUUCAUUUGCGAAACACAAGUGUCUGAAGGAGUCAAUAUCAUAGGAAAGUGAAAAGAAUGGCAGAAACAGAGCGUCUGAAGGAGUCAAUGUCAUAGGAAAGUGAAAAGAAUGGCAAAAAUAUGGUUAAUUUUUGUAAAAUGGUUUAUACAUUAUAAUAAAUGUUGUUUCCAUUGAUAU
rnacentral:misc_RNA from 1 species